rnacentral:rRNA from 1 species
GCAUAUCAAUAAGCGGAGGAAAAGAAACCAACAGGGGAUUGCCUCAGUAACGGCGAGUGAAGCGGCAACAGCUCAAAUUUGAAAUCUGGGGGCCUUCGGCCUCCGAGUUGUAAUUUGAAGAGGAUGUUUCGGCGGCAGCUUUGGCCCAAGUUCCUUGGAACAGGACGUCAUGGAGGGUGAGAAUCCCGUGUCUGGCUGAUAGCUUGCUGCCAUGUGAAACUCCUUCGAAGAGUCGAGUUGUUUGGGAAUGCAGCUCAAAAUGGGUGGUAAAUUUCAUCUAAAGCUAAAUAUUGGCGGGAGACCGAUAGCGCACAAGUAGAGUGAUCGAAAGAUGAAAAGCACUUUGAAAAGAGAGUUAAACAGUACGUGAAAUUGUUGAAAGGGAAGCGCUUGCAAUCAGACUCACUUGCGGUUGAUCAACAAUCCUUUUGGUUUGUGCACUCUGCCGUUUGUGGGCCAGCAUCAGCUGGGGCGGUGGGACAAAGGCAGCGGGAAUGUGGCUCCCCUCGGGGAGUGUUAUAGCCCGUUGCGUAAUGCCACCAGCCCCGGCUGAGGUCCGCGGUUCGCCUAGGAUGCUGGCUUAAUGGUUGUAAGCGACCCGUCUUGAAACACGGACCAAGGAGUCUAACAUCUAUGCGAGUCUUUGGGUGUCAAACCCAUAGGCGUAAUGAAAGUGAACGGAGGUGGGAGUCUUCGGAUGCACCAUCGACCGAUCCUGAUGUUCUCGGAUGGAUUUGAGUAGGAGCAUAGCUGUUGGGACCCGAAAGAUGGUGAACUAUGCCUGAAUAGGGUGAAGCCAGAGGAAACUCUGGUGGAGGCUCGCAGCGGUUCUGACGUGCAAAUCGAUCGUCAAAUUUGGGUAUAGGGGCGAAAGACUAAUCGAACCAUCUAGUAGCUGGUUUCCUGCCGAAG